CACGUAGGGUGCGAGCGUUGUCCGGAGUUAUUGGGCGUAAAGAGCUCGUAGGCGGUGUGUCGCGUCGGCCGUGAAAACCUGCAGCUUAACUGUGGGCUUGCGGUCGAUACGGGCAUCACUGGAGUUCGGCAGGGGAGACUGGAAUUCCUGGUGUAGCGGUGAAAUGCGCAGAUAUCAGGAGGAACACCGGUGGCGAAGGCGGGUCUCUGGGCCGAUACUGACGCUGAGGUGCGAAAGCGUGGGGAGCAAACAGG
rnacentral:rRNA from 1 species